rnacentral:rRNA from 1 species
CCAGCCGCUAAACCCCCUAAUUUUCUUAGGUGACCUC